AACUGUCUUUUUUUUAAAGGUGU
rnacentral:piRNA from 1 species